rnacentral:tRNA from 1 species
GUUUCCGUAGUGUAGCGGUUAUCACGUCUGCUUCACACGCAGAAGGCCCCGUUGGUUCGAACCCGGGCGGAAACA